rnacentral:rRNA from 1 species
CUUUCCUUGAUGACGACUGGCGCACGGGUGAGUAACGCGUAUCCAACCUUCCCAUAACUACGGGAUAACCCGUUGAAAGACGGCCUAAUACCGUAUGAUAUCGUUUGCUGACAUCAAAUAACGAUUAAAGGUUUAGCGGUUAUGGAUGGGGAUGCGUCUGAUUAGCUUGUUGGCGGGGUAACGGCCCACCAAGGCGACGAUCAGUAGGGGUUCUGAGAGGAAGGUCCCCCACAUUGGAACUGAGACGCGGUCCAA